rnacentral:misc_RNA from 1 species
GUGAAUGGAUCCUCGGUGUCCGUUGAAAAUGCUGGUCUCCUUGCGCUGACCCGAGUUGGCAGUCGAAGGGUUGUACAGAUUUCAGCUGGAUUCAUGAUAUUCUUCUCCAUUCUUGGGAAAUUUGGAGCAGUAUUUGCAUCCAUUCCAGCCCCCAUUGUUGCCGCUUUGUACUGUCUUUUCUUUGCUUACGUGGGCAUGGGAGGUUUAAGCUACCUCCAAUUCUGUAACCUCAACAGCUUCAGAACAAAGUUCGUAUUAGGAUUCUCCAUCUUCCUCGGACUCUCUGUGCCACAAUACUUCAACGAGUACACA